GGGGGUGACAGGUUUCGACGUCGGCUGUGAUCGACGGGAGAAGCGGGCCGAGGAUGGCAGUUAUCUCGAGAACGACCUGCCAAAAAACAAUUGCGAACAACAACGCAACUGUCGCACGCUCAAACGUGGCCCUCGCGGCCUGAGCGAUACGCGACCGGUGAACCGGGGGUGUCUCCGCCCCGAAUUCGCCGUCAUUGAGGAGACUCACCAACCCGCCCGGUAACGGGGUGGGACGGAACACCUAACAGUUGCUGGACCGUGUUACCGCGCAGUGCCACACGAAGCGCGGAGGUUGAGACCACAUCAGCGUGGCUGCGCCCGGAGAAGACCCGGAGGAGCACCGACGGACCCGGGUUCGAUUCCCGGCACCUCCACAC
rnacentral:tmRNA from 1 species